rnacentral:rRNA from 2 species
ACUUAAAUUGAAGAGUUUGAUCAUGGCUCAGAUUGAACGCUGGCGGCAGGCCUAACACAUGCAAGUCGAGCGGCAGCGGGA